rnacentral:lncRNA from 1 species
AGACCCCGUCUCAAAAAAUAAAUAAAAAAUAAGUUGCUCCUGAUCCACUGAACUGAAUUUACACUAAUUCACACUCACCAGUUCACAUUCACCAAUUCAUACGUGCCAAUCCACACCCAUCCACACUCAUUCAUACACUCACUCAACAAUUCACACCUAUCGACAUUCACCAAUUCACACUCAUCCACACUACACACACCAGUUCAACUCACCAAUUCACUCACCAAUCCACACUCAUUCACACUCGCCAAUCCACACUCAUUCAUACACCAAGUCACACUCAUCCACGCUCUAACAGUCACCAAUUCACACUCAUCCACUCAUUCACACUACACACAAUUCAACUCACCAAUUCACUCAAUUCACACAUCCACAACCAAUUCACACUCAUCCACACAGUCACCAAUUCACUCAUCCACUCAUUCGCACUACACACACCAAUCCACACAUUCACACUCACCAAUUCACACAUUCACUCUCACCAAUUCACACAUCCACACUCAACAGUCACCAAUUCACACUCAUCCACACAUCCACACUCAUCCACACUACACACACCAAUUCAACUCACCAGUUCACUCACCAAUCCACAUUCACACACUCACCAAUUCACACUCAUCCACACUCGCCAAUUCACACUCAUCCACACUACACACACCAAUUCAACUCACCAAUUCACUCACCAAUCCACACAUUCACACUCACCAAUUCACACAUCCAUACUCGCCAAUUCACACCCAUCCACACUAAUCCACUCAUUCACACAUUCACACUCGCCCAUUCACCCUAAUUCACACUCAUUCAAUCACACUCAUUCACAUUUAUUCACAUUCACAGUCACCAAUCCAGUCAUUCACCCAUUCACACCAAUCCACUCAUUCACACCCAUUCACACAUUCACACACCCAUUUACACACACCAAUCCACAUUCGUUCACACUCAUUCACGCACACCAAUCCAUUCACACUCAUUUACAUUCACACUCGCCCAUUCACACAUUCACACUCGCCCAUUCACACUCAUCAGUUCACACUCAUCCACUCAUUCAUUCUCUCACCCAUUCACAUCCAUCCACUCAUCCACACCACUUCACACUCACCAAUUCACUAAUUUACACACCCGUUUACACUCAUCCACACCACACAAUUCACACCAAUUCACAAAUGCACAAUCACCAGUUCACACCCAUCCACACUCAUUCACACACAGUCUCACGAAUUCACACCCAUCUGCACUACUUCACACUCACCAAUUCACUAAUUCACACUCAAUUUAUAGUCAUCCUUUCACAAUCAUUCUCACGCUCAUACUCGUCCUCCCCUCCCAGGCUCAGGCCAUCCUGUCACAGCCUUUCCUAGCUGGGAUCACAAGUGUG